AGCGACUUACGUUCGUCAGCAAGCUUAACCGAUUAGGGGAGGCGUAGCGAAAGCGAGUCCGAAUAGGGCGCUAAGUGGCGGAUCGUAGACCCGAAACCGGAUGAUCUACUCAUGGCCAGGAUGAAGGCAGGGUAACACCUGCUGGAGGUCCGAACCCACUACUGUUGAAAAAGUAGGGGAUGAGCUGUGGGUAGGGGUGAAAGGCUAAACAAAUCCGGAAAUAGCUGGUUCUCUCCGAAAACUAUUUAGGUAGUGCCUCGUAUAUCACCAUCGGGGGUAGAGCACUGUUAUGGCUAGGGGGCGGUAUUCGUCUACCAAACCAUUGCAAACUCCGAAUACCGAUGAGUGCAGUACGGGAGACAGACAUCGGGUGCUAACGUCCGGUGUCAAGAGGGAAACAACCCAGACCGCCGAUUAAGGUCCCAAAGUACAGCUAAGUGGAAAACGAAGUGGGAAGGCUAAAACAGUCAGGAGGUUGGCUUAGAAGCAGCCACCCUUUAAAGAAAGCGUAAUAGCUCACUGAUCGAGUCGUCCUGCGCGGAAGAUUCAACGGGGC
rnacentral:rRNA from 1 species